rnacentral:rRNA from 1 species
CGUCUAGGCGGAUUGGCAAGUUAGGUGUGAAAUCCCACGGCUCAACCGUGGAAGUGCACUUGAAACUGCCAGUCUUGAGUACGAAAGAGGAAAGCGGAAUUCCUGGUGUAGCGGUGAAAUGCGUAGAUAUCAGGAAGAACACCGGUGGCGAAGGCGGCUUUCUGGUUCGAUACUGACGCUAAAGCGCGAAAGUGUGGGGAGCAAACAGGAUUAGAUACCCUGGUAGUC